GAGUCGUUCAAAAGAGUAAAAAAUUAUCUGAUGACUUGAAACAAUACUUCUAAUUUUCUAAGAGCUUCCAAAAAUAGAGAAUGUGUUUUGGCUACCUGUGGUCUUUUAAUAACUGGUUUGGUUACUUUUCUGAUGACUGUUUUAGCUAAUUAAUUCAGCAUGUUAAUUACUUUCUUUUAACAUGGUUGUGGCCAACACCUUUUGCUUCCAGUAAUCAAGUCAUAUUUAAUCUCAGUCUGUAAAGAGGACUGUCUAUGAACUUGUCUAAACUUGCUUAAACUUCAUUUACUUUUACAUUCCUGGGAAAAAUUGAUUUUUUUUUUUUAAUACAAAUGAGUUCAUUUCCUAUUUCAGUACCCACUCCAAUUCUCUAAGGGCCUACUGAUUUCCAGGCUCUCAAAAAUCUUUCCCCUUCCAAUUUGGAUUUUAGUAAUUACUGUCUUCCUAAUUUGGAAUUUCAAUUUGAAAACAAAUUUGUUUGAUUUGGCAUUAGGUUGACCAUCUUAUUUUAAAUGAGAUCAUGUAGCUCUAAUUUUCUAUGAUCAUAGGAAGUAUUUGCUGAGCACCAUCUUUGUUACUUUGAGGAAACUAAAAAACAACUUUUCUACUGAGCUUAUGAUUCUCCUUGACAGUUCCUUUAACUGAAGGGCUCUGAAACAGACUUGUACUACUCGGAAUGUGAAUGACCUAAUUGCUUAGAGCAGUGCUUAGCACACUGCACGUUUUCAAUAAAUGGAGCUAUUUUUCAUCAAUCCAUUCUUUGACUCAACAAAGAAACAACAUUUAUUGAACACCUCCUUGAUGGAGGCUACAAGAAGCUCUGUUCUGGAGAAAGAAAUAUAUUGUGUUUUAAUUAGAAGAAAAGCAUCACUGUAAAACAGAAUGAUAAUGAAUAGAGAAUUUUGAGAUCACAUUUGGUGUGAAACAUGACAUUCGAAAUUUCAGGUGAUUAAUUCUUGAAACAAUAUAUUGAAUGAUCCUAAAAGAGAAAAAAGACAAGAAAAAAAUGGAAAAAAAUUAGACUUAUUGCACAAAGAUGAUUUAAUAUAUUUCAUUUACUCGUAUGGCAGAUAAUCACUCAUUCACCACACAUUGUGUGAGUAACUGCUAUGUGCAGAGCAAAGUACAGAGCACUUAGGGACUAUCUGCCCCAAGGAGUGUGCUACCUAGUAUGGAAAUUGUUUCGGUUUGCUAAUGCUGCUGUCAUGCAAAAUACCAGAAAUGGAUUGGCUUUUAUAAAGGGGUUUUAUUUGGUUACAAAGUUACAGUUUUAAGGCCAUAAUGUGUCCAAGAUAAGGCAUAACAACAGGGUACCUUCACUGAAGGAUGGCCAUUGGCAUCUGAAAAACCUGUGUUAGCUUCGACGGCACGUGGCUAAUGUCCGCUUGCUCCUAGGUUGCAUUUCAAAAUGUCAUUCUCCAAAAUGUUGCUCUUGGGGCAUUUUGUCCUCUCUUAGCUGCAGCUCCUCUUCAACAUGUCACUCUCAGUUGCUC